rnacentral:rRNA from 1 species
AGUGAACGCUGGCGGUAGGCCUAACACAUGCAAGUCGAACGGCAGCACAGUAAGAGCUUGCUCUUACGGGUGGCGAGUGGCGGACGGGUGGGGAAUACAUCGGAAUCUACUUUUUCGUGGGGGAUAACGUAGGGAAACUUACGCUAAUACCGCAUACGACCUACGGGUGAAAGCAGGGGAUCUUCGGACCUUGCGCGAUUGAAUGAGCCGAUAUCGGAUUAGCUAGUUGGCGGGGUAAAGGCCCACCAAGGCGACGAUCCGUAGCUGGUCUGAGAGGAUGAUCAGCCACACUGGAACUGAGACACGGUCCAGACUCCUACGGGAGGCAGCAGUGGGGAAUAUUGGACAAUGGGCGCAAGCCUGAUCCAGCCAUACCGCGUGGGUGAAGAAGGCCUUCGGGUUGUAAAGCCCUUUUGUUGGGAAAGAAAAGCAGCAGGUUAAUACCCCGCUGUUCUGACGGUACCCAAAGAAUAAGCACCGGCUAACUUCGUG